UACGUAGGGGGCAAGCGUUGUCCGGAUUCAUUGGGCGUAAAGCGCGCGUAGGCGGCUCCGCAAGUCGGCCGUGAAAUCUCCAGGCUCAACUUGGAGGGGUCGGGCGAGACUGCGGAGCUCGAGGUGGGCAGAGGGCAGUGGAAUUCCGGGUGUAGUGGUGGAAUGCGUAGAGAUCCGGAGGAACACCAGUGGCGAAGGCGGCUGCCUGGGCCUGGCCUGACGCUGAGGCGCGAAAGCGUGGGGAGCAAACAGG
rnacentral:rRNA from 1 species